rnacentral:rRNA from 1 species
AGAGUUUGAUCCUGGCUCAGAACGAACGCUGGCGGCGUGCCUAACACAUGCAAGUCGAACGAGAAAGCACCUUCGGGUGUGAGUACAGUGGCAGACGGGUGAGUAAUACUUAGGUAAUCUACCUUCGGGAUGGGGACAACCUUUCGAAAGGAGGGCUAAUACCGAAUGAGACCACAGUCACCUCGGUGACAGAGGUUAAAGAUGGCCUCUACUUGUAAGCUAUCGCCUGAAGAUGAGCUUAAGCACCAUUAGCUUGUUGGUGAGGUAACGGCUCACCAAGGCUGCGAUGGGUAGCUGAUCUGAGAGGUUGAUCAGCCACACUGGAACUGAGACACGGUCCAGACUCCUACGGGAGGCAGCAGUGGGGAAUUUUGCGCAAUGGGGGAAACCCUGACGCAGCGACGCCGCGUGGGUGAUGAAGGCUUUCGGGUCGUAAAGCCCUGUCAGGAGGAAAGAAAAACGGUAUGGCUAAUAUCCAUACCGCUUGACGUACCUCCAGAGAAGCACCGCUAACU